rnacentral:misc_RNA from 1 species
AAGUCGUAACAAGGUUUCCGUAGGUGAACCUGCGGAAGGAUCAUUAACAAAUCGUCUGGCCACACCCGAAAGGGUAGGUCACAUUGACUCGGGGGCCUUGGGUGUCUAUUUAAGCCCCCCAAGCCCCUAGAGACAUUUACGCUUGUUGUGUAUGACUGAGUUAUUAUGUGGCCUAAUAAAGACAACUUUUAACAAUGGAUCUCUUGGCUCUU